UACGAAGGGGGCUAGCGUUGUUCGGAUUUACUGGGCGUAAAGCGCACGUAGGCGGAUUGUUAAGUCAGGGGUGAAAUCCUGGAGCUCAACUCCAGAACUGCCUUUGAUACUGGCAAUCUCGAGUCCGGAAGAGGUGAGUGGAACUCCUAGUGUAGAGGUGGAAUUCGUAGAUAUUAGGAAGAACACCAGUGGCGAAGGCGGCUCACUGGUCCGGUACUGACGCUGAGGUGCGAAAGCGUGGGGAGCAACAGG
rnacentral:rRNA from 1 species